ACUACGGGAGGCUGCAGUGGGGAAUAUUGCACAAUGGGCGCAAGCCUGAUGCAGCCAUGCCGCGUGUGUGAAGAAGGCCUUCGGGUUGUAAAGCACUUUCAGCGGGGAGGAAGGCGUUAAGGUUAAUAACCUUGGCGAUUGACGUUACCCGCAGAAGAAGCACCGGCUAACUCCGUGCCAGCAGCCGCGGUAAUACGGAGGGUGCAAGCGUUAAUCGGAAUUACUGGGCGUAAAGCGCACGCAGGCGGUCUGUCAAGUCGGAUGUGAAAUCCCCGGGCUCAACCUGGGAACUGCAUUCGAAACUGGCAGGCUAGAGUCUUGUAGAGGGGGGUAGAAUUCCAGGUGUAGCGGUGAAAUGCGUAGAGAUCUGGAGGAAUACCGGUGGCGAAGGCGGCCCCCUGGACAAAGACUGACGCUCAGGUGUGAAAGCGUGGGGAGCAAACAGGAUUAGAUACCCGUGUAGUC
rnacentral:rRNA from 1 species